UUGGAGGGCAAGUCUGGUGCCAGCAGCCGCGGUAAUUCCAGCUCCAAUAGCGUAUAUUAAAGUUGUUGCAGUUAAAAAGCUCGUAGUUGAAUUUCGGGGUUUAUACGUUGGUCGGGCUUUUGGGUCUGUACUGGCGUAAUGAAUUCCUACCUUCUGAAUAACCAGCAUGUCAUUAAUUUGAUGCGCCGGGGAAGCAGGACUGUUACCUUGAAAAAAUUAGAGUGUUUAAAGCAAGCUAACGCUUGAAUACAUUAGCAUGGAAUAAUGAAAUAGGACGUUCGAUCCUAUUUUGUUGGUUUCUAGGAUUGACGUAAUGAUUAAUAGGGAUAGUUGGGGGCAUUAGUAUUCAAUUGUCAGAGGUGAAAUUCUUGGAUUUAUUGAAGACUAACUACUGCGAAAGCAUUUGCCAAGGAUGUUUUCAUUAAUCAGGAACGAAAGUUAGGGGAUCGAAGACGAUCAGAUACCGUCGUAGUCUUAACCAUAAACUAUGCCGACUAGGGAUCGGACGAUGUUAAUUUUUUAAUGACUCGUUCGGCGCCUUACGGGAAAC
rnacentral:rRNA from 1 species